UACAGAGGUCCCAAGCGUUGUUCGGAUUCACUGGGCGUAAAGGGCUCGUAGGCGGCCCACUAAGUCCGACGUGAAAUCCCCAGGCUUAACUUGGGAACUGCGUCGGAUACUGGUGGGCUUGAAUCCGGGAGAGGGAUGCGGAAUUCCAGGUGUAGCGGUGAAAUGCGUAGAUAUCUGGAGGAACACCGGUGGCGAAGGCGGCAUCCUGGACCGGCAUUGACGCUGAGUGAGCGAAAGCCAGGGGAGCAAACAGG
rnacentral:rRNA from 1 species